rnacentral:rRNA from 1 species
ACUAGCAGUAAGAGUUUGAUCCUGGCUCAGAGCGAACGCUGGCGGCAGGCCUAAUACAUGCAAGUCGAACGCACCUUCGGGUGAGUGGCGGACGGGUGAGUAACGCGUGGGAACGUGCCCUUUGGUACGGAACAACUGAGGGAAACUUCAGCUAAUACCGUAUGUGCCCUUCGGGGGAAAGAUUUAUCGCCAUUGGAGCGGCCCGCGUUGGAUUAGCUAGUUGGUGGGGUAAAAGCCUACCAAGGCUACGAUCCAUAGCUGGUCUGAGAGGAUGAUCAGCCACACUGGGACUGAGACACGGCCCAGACUCCUACGGGAGGCAGCAGUAGGGAAUCUUGCGCAAUGGGCGAAAGCCUGACGCAGCCAUGCCGCGUGAAUGAUGAAGGUCUUAGGAUUGUAAAAUUCUUUCACCGGGGAAGAUAAUGACGGUACCCGGAGAAGAAGCCCCGGCUAACUACGUGCCAGCCGCCGCGGUAAUUC